GACGAACGCUGACGGUGUGCUUUAGACAUGCAAGUCGAACGAGAAAGCCCUUCGGGGUGAGUAAAGUGGCGAACGGGUGAGUAACACGUGGGUAACCUGCCCCUCGCAGAGGGAUAACCGGGGGAAACCCCAGCUAAUACCUCGUACGCUUGCCGGGUCGCAUGGCUCGGCAAGGAAAGGUAGCUUCGGCCAUCCGGCGAGGGAUGGGCCCGCGGUCCAUUAGCUAGUUGGUGGGGUAACGGCCCACCAAGGCGACGAUGGAUAGCUGGUCUGAGAGGAUGAUCAGCCACACUGGGACUGAGACACGGCCCAGACUCCUACGGGAGGCAGCAGUCGGGAAUCUUGCGCAAUGGGCGAAAGCCUGACGCAGCAACACCGUGUGGGCGACGAAGGCCUUCGGGUCGUAAAGCCCUGUUGUUGGGGACGAAGGACGAAGGGUUAAUAGCCCCUAGUCUGACGGUACCCUUCGAGGAAGCCCCGGCUAACUACGUGCCAGCCGCCGCAGUAAAAC
rnacentral:rRNA from 1 species